UCCCCUGGCAAUGGGCAAAGAGACACCUCCUUGGUGGUGUUCUUCUUCUAUCGUUCAAGGGCAAAGCAGACGGCAGUCCUUUGAUCAUUCUAACAUGAUACCUGGUUUAGUGGACAAAGCUGUCUUAUGCCUAGGACUCAUAA